rnacentral:tRNA from 1 species
GUAUCGGAAGGUGCGGCUGGAUCACCUCCUUUUGAGCAUGACGUCAUCGUCCUGUCGGGCGUCCUCACAAAUUACCUGCAUUCAGAGAUGCGUAUCGGCACAGGCCGGUAUGCGAAAGUCCCAUCAUGGGGCCUUAGCUCAGCUGGGAGAGCACCUGCUUUGCAAGCAGGGGGUCGUCGGUUCGAUCCCGACAGGCUCCACCAUUUGAGUGAAACGACUUUGGGUCUGUAGCUCAGGUGGUUAGAGCGCACCCCUGAUAAGGGUGAGGUCGGUGGUUCGAGUCCUCCCAGACCCACCACUCUGAAUGUAGUGCACACUUAAGAAUUUAUAUGGAUCAGCGUUGAGGCUGAGACAUGUUCUUUUAUAACUUGUGACGUAGCGAGCGUUUGAGAUAUCUAUCUAAACGUGUCGUUGAGGCUAAGGCGGGGACUUCGAGUCCCUAAAUAAUUGAGUCGUAUGUUCGCGUUGGUGGCUUUGUAGCCCACACAACACGACAUAUGAUCCUGAGGCAACUUGGGGUUAUAUGGUCAAGCGAAUAAGCGCACA